rnacentral:lncRNA from 1 species
AAAUGGUUAAAAGCGUUCCCUUCGGGGGGAAAAAAAGGUCUUGGGUUCGAUCCACGGGAUCAGAAAGGUUCAUGUGCCAGAACUGCUGCAGCGGGGCACACAGAAUAAACCCAGACCAUACAAUUCCUUGAAGUGGGCCCCGAGGGGGACGCCACACUAUGUUUGAAGACUUUAAGCAAUCUAUGAUGGUUGAAUUUGAUAUGUCUGAUCAUGACAUCAAGCAUUAUUUUCUUGGUAUUGA